GUUGCAUGAAGCUAAGGCCCUCAAGGCAAAAUGUAAAUCAAAACAAAAAGGUAUGAAAUCGAAAGGAACAGAGAAGUUAAAUGAUGGCCAAAAAAGGAACUACCACCAAUCUUCGUGGAUGUGACACGUGCCUCAGAAAAUACGCACAAGAGAGCAAGGCCAAAAACCCAGAACUGUUGAGGUCAACAAAAUUAAGGAAGCAUGUUGCUACCUUAUGUCAGCUUCUCGACCUGAACAAUCAGGAACUCGAGCAAGUUGCUCGUUUUAUGGGACACGACAUUAGAGUCCAUUGUGAGUUUUAUCGGCAGACCGAUAAAACUUUCCAAGUGGCCAAGAUUGCCAAACUACUGUUUGCGAUGGAACGUGGGACAGAGUCGCUGAAGGGAAAGAGUCUGCAAACCCUGGACUCUGUUAUCACUGGAAGAGCACAUGCAGCCACCUCAACCAAAGGUCUGAAAAGUGGCAAAAAGAGAAGACCAGAUCCAGGGAGACGACAGGAAGCUCAAGAUGAAUGAGAAGUGCCACAUUCAGCUGUAGCAACGAGAUCUGAUGAUGAAGAUGAUGGAGGCGGUAACAGUACCAACUUGGACACUGAAAACACAGGCACCUACAAAAGGCCACCGAAGAUGCAGUCAAUUAAAGAAAGAAAUUAUGCUGAUGACGACAUGAGUGAUGUUUCUGGCAGUGAAUAUGGCGAUGGAGGGGUGUGCCAUAAGACAGUUAAGAAGACUGUCAAGAAAAAAAAGACAAUGUUGGGAAGACAUGGAUUGGUCUAUGACGCAUCUUUCACACAUGGCCAAGAACAACCAUCAACAUCAGGGAGCGCCACCAAACGAAAGAGGAUUGCAACACUUACACAUGACGACGAUGAUGUUGAAGACAGCGAUGAAGAGGACAAAAAGACUGGACACAGAUCUCUUGGGAAGAAGAAGACAGCAGUUCGAAAAGAACAUAGUGAAGUUGAAUUGGAAACUAAAAAAAGGAAGAGACCCGGACUCCAAAGGAAAGAGCAGCAAUUGAUCGACACCUUUCAAAAUUUGUAGCAUUAAAGAAAGUUCCAAGGAAAGAUGACUGCGUUAAGUGUCGUAGUCAAGCAUCGCCAGACCUUGAAGACCGCACAUGGAGAGAUAUUCCACAAUGAAAUUAUUAAAAGAUAUGUAAUUGGGAAAAAAGCUUGAAGAUGAAAGAUAGAGAGAGGGAGAGACAUAGGGGGGAGAUAGAUGAAGGGAGAGAGGGAAUGGGAUGAGAGAGAGGGGAGAAAAGGAAUAGAGUUUGAAAGCACAGUUAUUUGGUAGGGUAUAUGUGGGUUCAUGUGUCAGGUUGUGGCGCAGCAAGUUUUUUUAGUGUGCGUUUUGAAGGUUGAAGUUUUUCAGGUGUUCUUGUAA